CAAGUCGAACGCGAAAGGCCCCUUCGGGGGCCGAGUAGAGUGGCGUCCGGGUGAGUAACACGUAGGUAAUCUACCUCCGGGUGGGGAAUAACGACCGGAAACGGUCGCUAAUACCGCAUAAUGCAGCGGCACCACAUGGUGACAGUUGUUAAAGCGGGGGAUCGCAAGACCUCGCGCCUGAAGAGGAGCCUGCGGCGGAUUAGCUAGUUGGCAGGGUAACGGCCUACCAAGGCGACGAUCCGUAGCCGGCCUGAGAGGGCGGUCGGCCACACUGGCACUGACACACGGGCCAGACUCCUACGGGAGGCAGCAGUCGGGAAUUUUGGGCAAUGGGCGCAAGCCUGACCCAGCAACGCCGCGUGAAGGAUGAAGCUUUUCGGAGUGUAAACUUCAUAAGAAUGGGACGAAUAAAAGAGGGCUAACACCCCUUUUGAUGACGGUACCAUUUGUAAGCUCCGGCUAACUCCGUGCCAGCAGCCGCGGUAAUACGGGGGGAGCAAGCGUUGUUCGGAUUUACUGGGCGUAAAGGGCGCGUAGGCGGCGCAACAAGUCGCUUGUGAAAUCUCCGGGCUUAACUCGGAGCGGCCAAGCGAUACUGUCGUGCUAGAGUGCGGAAGGGGCUACUGGAAUUCUCGGUGUAGCGGUGAAAUGCGUAGAUAUCGAGAGGAACACCUGCGGCGAAGGCGGGUAGCUGGGCCGACACUGACGCUGAUGCGCGAAAGCCAGGGGAGCGAACGGGAUUAGAUACCCCGGUAGUCCUGGCCUUAAACGAUGGAUGCUUGGUGUCCGGGGUUACAUAGUCCCCGGGUG
rnacentral:rRNA from 1 species